CUCAAAGAAAAAACGUUUAUCCUGAAAAAAUACGUUGUGUAAGUUGAGUGAAUCAAAGUUAAAGUUUAAUAUGUAAAUCAAGGGAAAUCUCUAUCACAUGCAAAGACACGACACGCUUUUCUUUGUGUUUUCCUCAUGAAUUAUUGAUGAGUUUUGAAAUGUUCAAUGUUUUAUAUCCGGUGGUCUCACUCUCACUGAAUUGCAAUUACAGUAUAUAUUACAAAAGAACAGCAUUAAGGGGCCGACCAUUUAACUUUUGAGGAGGGGG